rnacentral:rRNA from 1 species
AUUGAACGCUGGCGGCAGGCCUAACACAUGCAAGUCGAACGAGGGGGGGACGGGUGAGUAAUGUCGGGGAAACUGCCUGAUGGGGGGGGAAAAAUACUGGAAACGGUAGCUGAUACCGCAUACCAUGGGAGAUGCCUAGGUGGGAUUAGCUAGUAGGUGGGGUAAAGUCUCACCUAGGCGACGAUCCCUAGCUGGUCUGAGAGGAUGAUCAGCCACACUGGAACUGGGACACGGCCCAGACUCCUACGGGAGGCAGCAGUGGGGAAUAUUGCACAAUGGGCGCAAGCCUGAUGCAGCCAUGCCGCGUGUAUGAAGAAGGCCUUCGGGUUGUAAAGUACUUUCAGUCGGGAGGCGUUACCCGCAGAAGAAGCACCGGCUAACUCCGUGCCAGCAGCCGCGGUAAUUC